rnacentral:rRNA from 1 species
AAAUCCGCUUUGAUAAUGCUGGGAUGUGAUGGGGAGCGAAAUUUAGUAGCGAAGUAGCUGAUUUCACACUGUCAAGAAAAGUCUCUAUCGAGGUUAAAGGUACCCGUACCGCAAACCGACACAGGUGGGUGAGGAGAGUAUCCUAAGGCCAGCGAGAGAACUGUUGUUAAGGAACUCGGCAAAAUGACCCCGUAACUUAGGGAUAAGGGGUGCCACCAUCAGGUGGCCGCAGAGAAUAGGCCCAAGCGACUGUUUACCAAAAACAUAGGUUUCUGCUAAGUCGCAAGACGAUGUAUAGGAGCUGACGCCUGCCCGGUGCUGGAAGGUUAAGGGGAUCUGUUAGAGCAAUCGAAGCAGUGAACUUAAGCCCCAGUAAACGGCGGCCGUAACUAUAACGGUCCUAAGGUAGCGAAAUUCCUUGUCGGGUAAGUUCCGACCCGCACGAAAGGCGUAACGAUUUGGGCACUGUCUCAACAACAGACUCGGUGAAAUUGUAAUUCCGGUGAAGAUGCCGGAUACCUGCGACAGGACGGAAAGACCCCAUGGAGCUUUACUGUAGCUUGACAUUGGGUCUUGGUACUACAUGUACAGGAUAGGUGGGAGGCUUUGAAACCAGGACGCCAGUUUUGGCGGAGCCAUCCUUGGGAUACCACCCUUGUAGUACUGGGACUCUAACCAUAGGCCAUGAAUCUGGUCUUGGGACACUGUCAGGUGGGCAGUUUGACUGGGGCGGUCGCCUCCCAAAAGGUAACGGAGGCGCUCAAAGGUUCUCUCAGUACGGUCGGAAAUCGUACGUAGAGUGUAAAGGCAAAAGAGAGCUUGAUUGCAAGACAUACAGGUCGAGCAAGGAUGAAAAUCGGACUUAGUGAUCCGGUGGUUCUGCGUGGAAGGGCCAUCGCUCAACGGAUAAAAGCUACCCUGGGGAUAACAGGCUUAUCUCCCCCAAGAGUCCACAUCGACGGGGAGGUUUGGCACCUCGAUGUCGGCUCAUCACAUCCUGGGGCUGUAGUAGGUCCCAAGGGUUGGGCUGUUCGCCCAUUAAAGUGGUACGCGAGCUGGGUUCAGAACGUCGUGAGACAGUUCGGUCCCUAUCCGUCGCAGGCGUAGGAAAUUUGAGAAGACCUGUCCUUAGUACGAGAGGACCGGGAUGGACGUACCUCUGGUGUACCAGUUGUCCUGCCAAGGGCAUGGCUGGGUAGCUAUGUACGGAAUGGAUAAGCGCUGAAAGCAUCUAAGCGCGAAGCCAACUUCAAGAUAAGAUUUCCCACCGCAAGGGUAAGACCCCAGAAAGACUAUCUGGUUGAUAGGUCGAAGGUGUAAGUGCAGCAAUGUAUUUAGCUUAUCGAUACUAAUAGGUCGAGGACUUGACC